rnacentral:SRP_RNA from 1 species
CCGUGCCAGACGGGGAGCUAGCGGUGCCCUGAACCUGAAAUCCGCUAUAGCAGGGUUUGAUCCCCGGUUUGAGGCAUGAUAUUGUAAGGCAUGGAAACGGUAAGGGGCGUUGAAGAGCGGGCCCCGCGCAACGCGCGGCCGUGAACCCUGUCAGGCCCUGACGGGAGCAGCAGUAAGCGGUGUGGCGCGUGUGCCUCGGACAAGUCUGCUCGGAGCAACCUGCCGUGAUACCUCUUGGAAUGUCAUUUCGAUUUCCGGGUGCACGG